rnacentral:lncRNA from 1 species
GCCUGCUCCUGUAGUGGGUGCAUGAAGAAGGUAGCCACGCGAAGCAGUAUUUAGAAGAAUUUUAAUUUCUUUUACCUUCAAUUCAAUAGUGCUUCCACUUACUUUGCCAUUUCCAUAGAAUUCUCUAAAAAGGUUGGGAUAAGUGGGAAGGUUUAAGGUGCACAAAAAUUCCCAACUAACAUCCUUGAUUUUCCUACCAAUCUCAAAUCCCUCCUUAUCUAAAAAAUCAAAAUCUAUGUUCUUCUUUACUAAAGUAAUUGAUCUUGAAGAUAAAAGAACAAUUUGACUUGAUGAGGGAGGAGAAGGAUGUGCCAUUGGUUGUGGUGGAGAAGGUACCCGUGGUUGAGGAGGAGGGUGAGUUGAUGAUUCAGUCUGUGAAGAUGAUAGAAUUAUUUAACUUGUAUCCAUUUCUUCUCUUAGAUCUAACCAAAACUUAGUCCUUCUUUCUUCCGAUAAAGAUCCGUAUGAGUAUGUUCUCGAUGGAGGAUGUUGAUAUGGUCUC